rnacentral:rRNA from 1 species
AUGCCAUCAGAUGUGCCCAGAUGGGAUUAGCUAGUAGGUGGGGUAACGGCUCACCUAGGCGACGAUCCCUAGCUGGUCUGAGAGGAUGACCAGCCACACUGGAACUGAGACACGGUCCAGACUCCUACGGGAGGCAGCAGUGGGGAAUAUUGCACAAUGGGCGCAAGCCUGAUGCAGCCAUCCGCGUGUGUGAAGAAGGCCUUCGGGUUGUAAAGCACUUUCAGCGGGGAGGAAGGCGAUAAGGUUAAUAACCUUGUCGAUUGACGUUACCCGCAGAAGAAGCACCGGCUAACUCCGUGCCAGCAGCCGCGGUAAUACGGAGGGUGCAAGCGUUAAUCGGAAUUACUGGGCGUAAAGCGCACGCAGGCGGUCUGUCAAGUCGGAUGUGAAAUCCCCGGGCUUAACCUGGGAACUGCAUUCGAAACUGGCAGGCUAGAGUCUUGUAGAGGGGGGUAGAAUUCCAGGUGUAGCGGUGAAAUGCGUAGAGAUCUGGAGGAAUACCGGUGGCGAAGGCGGCCCCCUGGACAAAGACUGACGCUCAGGUGCGAAA